rnacentral:rRNA from 1 species
AUUGAACGCUGGCGGCAUGCCUUAUAUAUGCAAGUCGAACGGCAGCAUGAUCUAGCUUGCUAGAUCUAUGGCGAGUGGCGAACGGGUGAGUAAUACAUCGCAACGUGCACUGUAGCGGGGGAUAACUAGUCGAAAGAUUAGCCAAUACCGCAUACGACCUGAGGGUGAAAGUGGUGGAUCGCAAGGCCUCUUGCUAUCUGAGUGGCUGAUGUCUGAUUAGCUAGUUGGUGAGGUAAAGGCUCACCAAGGCGACGAUCAGUAGCUGGUCUGAGAGGACGAUCAGCCACACUGGGACUGAGACACGGCCCAGACUCCUACGGGAGGCAGCAGUGGGGAAUUUUGGACAAUGGGCGAAAGCCUGACCCAGCAAUGCCGCGUGUGUGAAGAAGGCCUUCGGAUUGUAAAGCACUUUGGUCCGGAAAGAAAUGGCUCUUGUUAAUACCUGGGGUCGAUGACGGUACCGGAAGAAUAAGGACCGGCUAACUACGUG